UAGGGAAUCUUCCGCAAUGGGCGAAAGCCUGACGGAGCAACGCCGCGUGAGUGAUGAAGGUCUUCGGAUCGUAAAACUCUGUUAUUAGGGAAGAACAAAUGUGUAAGUAACUAUGCACGUCUUGACGGUACCUAAUCAGAAAGCCACGGCUAACUACGUGCCAGCAGCCGCGGUAAUACGUAGGUGGCAAGCGUUAUCCGGAAUUAUUGGGCGUAAAGCGCGCGUAGGCGGUUUUUUAAGUCUUAUGUGAAAGCCCACGGCUCAACCGUGGAGGGUCAUUGGAAACUGGAAAACUUGAGUGCAGAAGAGGAAAGUGGAAUUCCAUGUGUGGCGGUAAAAUGCGCAGAGAUAUGGGGGAACACCAGUGGCGAAGGCGACUUUCUGGUCUGUAACUGACGCUGAUGUGCGAAGGCGUGGGGAUCAAACAGG
rnacentral:rRNA from 1 species